rnacentral:rRNA from 1 species
UACGGAGGGUGCGAGCGUUGUCCGGAAUCAUUGGGCGUAAAGGGCGCGUAGGUGGCCUGCUAAGCGUGCGGUGAAAGCUCGGGGCUCAACCCCGAGUCGGCCGUGCGAACUGGUGGGCUUGAGCACUGUAGAGGCAGGCGGAAUUCCGGGUGUAGCGGUGGAAUGCGUAGAGAUCCGGAAGAACACCGGUGGCGAAGGCGGCCUGCUGGGGCAGUUGCUGACACUGAGGCGCGACAGCGUGGGGGAGCAAACAGG